GAUAAACGCUGGCGGCGUGCAUGAGACAUGCAAGUCGAACGGAGGAUCAGGGCUUGCCUUGAUCCUUAGUGGCGGACGGCUGAGUAACGCGUAGGUGACCUGCCCCGAAGUGGGGAAUAACUGCCCGAAAGGGUGGCUAAUACCGCAUGUGGUGGUGUGUUCGAUCACACCAGUAAAGCCGCAAGGCGCUUCGGGAGGGGCCUGCGUCCGAUUAGCUCGUUGGUGGGGUAACGGCUCACCAAGGCGACGAUCGGUAGGUGGUCUGAGAGGACGAUCACCCAGACUGGGACUGAGACACGGCCCAGACUCCUACGGGAGGCAGCAGUCGGGAAUUUUGCGCAAUGGACGAAAGUCUGACGCAGCAACGCCGCGUGAGGGAUGACGGCCUUCGGGUUGUAAACCUCUUUUGUCAGGGACGAUGAUGACGGUACCUGACGAAUAAGUCACGGCUAACUACGUGCCAGCAGCCGCCGUAACAC
rnacentral:rRNA from 1 species